rnacentral:lncRNA from 1 species
AAAGUAAUUUUGAAAUUGUUCAAAAUCUUUCGCCGACGUCAGUGUCAUCAUUACCACUUUAAUGCAAGUUGUCAUUUUUCCAGAAGAACUUCUCAAAAAUUCAUCAUUACUUAUAUUUUCUAGGAGAUCAUGGAUUUUCACGUUUUCACUAACUUCUCCACUUCUAUCAACUCACCCACUUCUAAAGAACUUAAACAUUUCACAUCAACACACGUAUGCCAUGUGUCCGUCAUUGACAAGAAAAAUAACC